rnacentral:rRNA from 1 species
UACGUAGGGGGCAAGCGUUGUCCGGAUUUAUUGGGCGUAAAGAGCGCGUAGGCGGCCAGAUAGGUCCGUUGUGAAAACUCGAGGCUCAACCUCGAGACGCCGAUGGAAACCAUUUGGCUAGAGUCCGGAAGAGGAGAGUGGAAUUCCUGGUGUAGCGGUGAAAUGCGCAGAUAUCAGGAAGAACACCCGUGGCUAAGGCGGCUCUCUAGUACGGUACUGACGCUGAGACGCGAAAGCGUGGGGAGCGAACAGG